UACAGAGGGGGCAAGCGUUGUUCGGAAUUACUGGGCGUAAAGGGCUCGUAGGCGGUUCGUCGCGUCGGCUGUGAAAUCCCGAGGCUCAACCUCGGGUCUGCAGUCGAUACGGGCGGACUGGAGUUCGGCAGGGGAGACUGGAAUUCCUGGUGUAGCGGUGAAAUUCGUAGAUAUUAGGAAGAACACCGGUGGCGAAGGCGGCCAC
rnacentral:rRNA from 1 species